ACAUCAAUAAAACUCAUCCUUACCUGUUACUACAAUUCAGACGUAUUAGAUCGUGAUGAAUAGCAUAAUAUGAUGUAUGAUCAUUAGCUCACUCUAAACCAGAGCAGCAGCACUCUGUUUGAGCCAUUCUGAA